rnacentral:ncRNA from 1 species
UAGACUGAGGAGCGCUGCAACGGGCAUCUAUCCGUGAGGCUCAGUAUAUGAGGAUAGCAACCUAACGGCGCUCGUUCAUU